rnacentral:rRNA from 1 species
UCGACGAGUUUGAUCAUGGCUCAGAAUCAACGCUGGCGGCGUGCCUCAGACAUGCAAGUCGAACGAUUAAAGCUCUCUUCGGAGAGUGUAUAGAGUGGCGCACGGGUGAGUAACACGUAGGUAAUCUACCCUCGAGUGGGGAAUAACAACCGGAAACGGUUGCUAAUACCGCAUAAUGCAGCGGCACCGCAAGGUGACAGUUGUUAAAGAUUUAUCGCUUGAGGAGGAGCUUGCGGCAGAUUAGCUAGUUGGUAGGGUAACGGCUUACCAAGGCUACGAUCUGUAACCGGUCUAAGAGGACGGUCGGUCACACUGACACUGAAUAACGGGUCAGACUCCUACGGGAGGCAGCAGUCGGGAAUUUUGGGCAAUGGGCGAAAGCCUGACCCAGCAACGCCGCGUGAAGGAUGGAGUAUUUCGGUAUGUAAACUUCGAAAGAAUAGGAAGAAUUAAUGACGGUACUAUUUAUAAGGUCCGGCUAACUACGUG